UUUGCACGGAAUGAGUGCUCCAAGCAGGAGGGGGUGUAGAAAGUUGAAAAGUAGAAGGAAAAGUUAAAAACCGUAUAUGCACCAAUGGUGGCAAAUACUGGAGUGGGAUGCAUCGACAGCCGCCGCCGUAUUGUUUCGGUCGCGCGACGCGUUUCGUGUCAUCGCGUGAUCGGCGCGAUGACUCAUCGUUCCCCAGGCUUAUUCAGGUUGGACGAAGUCGACAGGCGCUGCUUCGAGCGUUGUCGGGUGGCGAGCGCGUUUUUACUUAUUUCGUUUUCCAAUAUUGACUUGUUUUAAUGGUUUGUC
rnacentral:lncRNA from 1 species